AAAAAAAGAGAGGAAGAAAGAGAGCAAAAAUGGAAUCACAACGCAACAAGGAACCACCACUCUGCGCUAAUGGCUGUGGCUUCUAUGGAACAGUACAGAAUUGGAAUUUAUGCUCCAAGUGUUAUGAAGAAUACCAAGAGCAAGAAGAGAAUGCUUCUAGUUUCUUACAUGGGAAAGUUAAAUGCUCAAGAUUGUUGAAGCAUCAUCAGCGUAAUAUGUUACUGACAGAAGUCUCGAAUGUCUCUCCAAAAUUUAGAAGAGGUGGUAGAAAGGAAAAGGGCUGGGCUUGAUCCUUGAUAAGGAAGGUACCAUUAACUAUUAAGCUGGACAAAUUGCUAAAGAUUGAGAAAAUUUUAGAAAUAUGAACUGAUACCAGAGUUGUUGUUUGGAUAUUAUAGCUUGUCAAGUUUUCAUUUAGUCAUCUACUGGUGGUAACUGUUUUAGGUCAAGGCUCUGUUUCAUUUUUAUGUUUUCUGUCCUCAGUUGUUUUUGUUGGUUUGAUUUUGUGUGGGGUUUGGGGUUGGUGCUCCCUUAGGUUUGGGUGUAUGAGGGAUUGCCUAAUGGAAAGGUCUUAGUUUGGAGCCCUUCCCUGCCCUCUGUUUCCCUUCCUUUUCCAUUAAUAAAAUUUUCUUUUUUGUUUAUAAAAAAAAUAAUAAAAAUUAAAGCAGCGACUUCCUUAAUAGCCAAGCUUUCUUUGGCUGCUGAAACUAUUGUUGUAGAAUCAAGUGAUGAAGCUGUUUCAGAAAGCACAAGGAAUCGGUGCUAGGAUUAAUGGGGUUCAACUGACGUUGAGGGAAUGUGUUUUAAUCAAACAAAUUGAUGGCAUCAGAAAAACUCAUCUUUAAAUUUAUGGUUGAUCAAAUACCAGCUUGUCCUUCAAUUAGGCUGAGGCAAAAAUCUGCGUAGAUGACUUUUCUUUCAAACAGUGAAAUCCGAGCUAGAGGCCAAAAUAAAUCUCCCCCAAAGGUAGAAGAAACUAAACAAACCUAUUUAAAAAAAAAAUUAAGAAAAUUAACUAGAAGAAAAUUAAGAGAACACAAGAAUAAAAGAGGAAAAGGCUGCCGCCAGUCAAACAAAGGCGCUCAGUAGCCCUUGAAAUCAAGAAAACAAAAAAAAAAAGGACCUGCAAAGAAAAAACUAAAGAGAGAAAGCUAGAAAAGAAAGCUUAAACAAUAUUUUAUUGAAUUCCUUCAGCUUCGUUGAUGCAACCUCCAGGGGAUCAAAAACAAUUUAAAAACUGACAGCUUUUAAAUUAGAAUUUGUUACCCAUACUCAAACAGUAUUCAUAAUAUUUGGGAUGUGGACAAAAAUAUUGUGAAGCUAUGAGAAUGAUGAGAGGCAAAUAGGGAAAAAAAUUGUUGGUUGUGUGCAGAAUAUUUGAAGCUCAAUCCUCUUGGCUAUGUGUCUGUGCUAGUGGUUGGUGAAACUGUUGUUUUCGACUCUUUUGCCAUCUUAAUGGUAAGUUUAUUUUUUGUUAUUAUUGUAAAUUUUUGGGUUAAUUCUAGAAACACAACUAAGGUUUUCAAUAACAUAUAUUUUGGUUCUUAUUAAGAACUAGCAAUGCUAAUUUUGAAACAGUAGCAUCCAAAAUGUAUUUUGAAGCAAAGGUUAGUAGUGUUUAUUUUUUUUUACUUUUUGCUAUUUUUUGCAAUUAAUCAUAAAUUUUUAGGUUCCCUUCUUUCUCUGUUUUUUUGGUGGGUUUAAAUUGGCAAUACAAGUGUACAGUGUCUCAAUGACAAGUGUACACAGCACCCAUUGUUGCCUCAUGAUCUUCAAGAAAAGUUAUUAAUUACGAGGUUAAAUUGCGUUUCUUUAGCAAUUAAAUUGCAAAUUGUGUAUGUCUUGUGUGUUUACCUUAUGUUAGUAUCCUGUUUCUUGAUUUACCUGCACUUAACAUAGUUUUUUUUUGUCCUUGCUUUUGUGUUUUUGCCUCUUUUCACUGCUAUAAUCGUUUUUCUUUAAUCACCUCUGGUGUAGGUUGCAAAUAUUGUUUCCUCAACCAUACAGCCACUUCAGAAUCAGCCUAUGCUAGUGAGUUUCCAAUUGGGAUUAUUGCAACUAAUUAGCUCAAUUAAGAGGAUGUAUUGCAUCCAAUUUUACAAGGUACAACUAAUCAGCCCAAUUGGGAUUAUCUGUGUUUUUUCUGAGGUCUUUCUUCUUGCAGAAUUUUGUAGAGGACAAAGUUGGUCCUGAUGAGAAACUUGCUUGGGCUUAAUAUUACAUAGGCAAAGGCUUCGCAGAAUUUGGGUUUGAUUGCUACUCAUGCCUAUCUCAGCAUUUGAGAAGCUGCUGAAAGAUCAUGCUGGAAGAUAUGCAACUAGAGAUGAAGUUUUGCCGACUCAGUUCACUCUUCUACUGAGGCUGUAUGCAGCAUACAAUGAGAUACCAUCAUUCCACAAUGCUAUGCCAGAGAAGCAGCCAGAUACCCCUCCAUCCAGCAACAAAUAAAUCAAUUGUAGAUUAUGAAGUUAAAGUUCAAAGAUCAAUGACCAAACGUGCACUGAUUCCACUUUGUGGGCUAUCAAUUGUCGAGAAUUGAAAGAGAUUCGAAGGAGGCGAUUUUCUCAACAGUAACUCCAACAACUAUGCCAAAGAAAUCAAUCUGUUAAAAUCUACUUGCCCUAUCUAGUGACAUUACUCACUAGGGCAAAAGUCAUGGGAAAGAUCAAGUUCAAUGGAGGAGGUCAAGAGGAUGCUUGAUGUGAAAUCACAAACAUAAUUGAGUCAGCAACUUCAACUUGAAUUGCAAAUUAUUCAAUUUUGACUUGAGAAUAUUUGGACUUGAACUCAACACCUUUCAAGGUUGGGUUUAUCUUUGGUGGAUGACUCCGAGAGAGAAUACCGACUAUUGAUAUCCCAAAAUAGGGAGAAAAAAAAGAAUUCUGAUCAAUUUCUAAA